rnacentral:rRNA from 1 species
AGCGAACGCUGGCGGCAGGCCUAACACAUGCAAGUCGAACGAACCUUUCGGGGUUAGUGGCGGACGGGUGAGUAACACGUGGGAACGUGCCUUUAGGUUCGGAAUAACUCAGGGAAACUUGUGCUAAUACCGAAUGUGCCCUUCGGGGGAAAGAUUAAUCGCCUUUAGAGCGGCCCGCGUCUGAUUAGCUAGUUGGUUGAGGUAAUGGCUCACCAAGGCGACGAUCAGUAGCUGGUCUGAGAGGAUGAUCAGCCACAUUGGGACUGAGACACGGCCCAAACUCCUACGGGAGGCAGCAGUAGGGAAUCUUGCGCAAUGGGCGAAAGCCUGACGCAGCCAUGCCGCGUGAAUGAUGAAGGUCUUAGGAUUGUAAAAUUCUUUCACCGGGGACGAUAAUGACGGUACCCGGAGAAGAAGCCCCGGCUAACUUCGUG